ACAACUGGUGCAACUACUGGAUCCCUUACUUAGUUGCAACAGGGGUGCUUGAAACACCUGUUUUGAAUAUUUGUACUGCUGUGAGGGAUUCUAUUCAGCGGGUUGAAUAAUUUUGAGGUUGAAGAAAUCAUAUGUUGAAUUUUGAGAAACCACUUGACACAAUUGCUUUUGUUUGAUUUGUAAAUUUGCAAACAGCAUAACGUCUGUAAAUUUUGAC